UGCAUGCUUCUGAUGUAUCUCAAUGACAGUGACGAUGCAUCUGUUUCAGUUUGAAAAUACACCAUCUGUUCUUCAGAUCUGAUGGUUCAAAGUCUUCUCCAAAAAUACUGAUGAUGGCUUCAUUACUUUUAGGAUUGAAAGUCUAGGACAUCAAUGUGUUCACAAGCUAACAUUUAACAUGAGUUUCCUGCUACAUUUCAUAUUUAUGAGCUUUUGGCCUUCAGCUGAUGUUACAUGCUUCCCUAAAGAAAUGAAAACCAGCUAGUGUGAUGACCAUUGAACCUGAAACAAACUUCACCCAUGUAAUUAAUUAAAAAUUUUACAUUGCAGUAAUUUAUGUGUUGCCCAUACAAGUGUAUGAUGCAGUAAUUUUGUGUUGGGAUUUAGCAUUGUCUUUUGCGUGUAUGCUUAUACCAGUUUUUCUAAGAAUAGAUUAAUCAUAUUAAGAUUAGGAUAGAGAGUGACAGCUGGGCAGUAUAUGUACUAAAAUAAUGCAUUUGAGCAACAGGCUUUGCUCAAAUUCUAUAAUUCAAAGUUCUAUAACUUUGUUAUAGAAACAAAGAGUCAUCUGUUUUCUUUAGGCUCAUAUGUUCAGUGCAGAUUGUUUUUUAAACUGAGGAAUUCUUGGGGCUUUUAACAUUUGUUUUAUUUUCAGUCUAGAAGGAGUCAAACAAGUAUGUUUUAGUAUAGCAAGGGGAUUAUAUGUUAUGAUUGCUUUCAGUUACAAGAAACUGAACCUGAUAUUUUAUCAUAUCCUGUUCAGGCCUGUAUGUUCCUAGUUUAAGUAGAGCAAUCUGCUUUCUUCAUAGUGGCUGUACAUCUGCCCUUCAUAGUAUCCUUAACUGAGUUGAAUAAUGUCUACUUAGUAUCAACUGACAAGUUCUAGAGAUGGUGAUGAAUGCAGGUAGAGAUAGAACUGCAUCAGCAUAGAUGUUAGGAUGUUGUGGUUAUUUGUGUUCAGUCUAAAAAUCUUACAACUUUUUUCAACCAAAGGUUCCACCAUCUUUGACACGACAGAGAUAUUUUAAUGCUAUCAGAAC
rnacentral:lncRNA from 14 species